ACUGGCUGACCCAGCCGAAGAAUGGAGGUUGGGCAAACUUGGACUGCAAAAUUUGGACGAAACAACGACAACAAGCACCGAACGCAGACUACACGGGCUAGCUAUGCGGUAAAACCAAAUUUGCUAACUGAUCAGGAGCCGCUGGCCAUGCAGGCGCCAGGUGCAGAGCGGCUGAGGCAAGUGCAGCGAGGCGAGAGGCCGGAGAUGGGAGGGCCGGAGGGGGAUCCGGCGAGCCGUCGACGCCGACCACCGCCGCCGCCUGCGUACGUGCCAAAUACCAAGUGAGUGAGUGGAGGAUAUCCAUGUCCCUGUGGUCCCUUGCCGUAAGGCCAUCGCGGCCCAGUCAGGAGUCCCCAAAGGCCCACCACUCAACGUCUCCACUCUCCACCAGAAGGCAGAACUAGAAGCUCUCGUCAAGACGUCUUCUUCAUCAACCUCGCUCGCGCUCAGCCGCUCGCCG
rnacentral:lncRNA from 7 species